AGCGAACGCUAGCGGCGGGCCUAACACAUGCAAGUCGAGCGCAUACCUUCGGGUAUGAGCGGCGGACGGGUGAGUAACGCGUAGGUCGUCUACCCUUUGGUGGGGGAUAACCCAGGGAAACUUGGGCUAAUACCGCACGAGGUCCACGGAUCAAAGCCUUCGGGCGCCAGAGGAUGAGCCUGCGUCGCAUUACCUAGUUGGCGGGGUAACGGCCCACCAAGGGGACGAUGCGUAGCUGGUCUGAGAGGAUGAUCAGCCACACUGGGACUGAGACACGGCCCAGACUCCUACGGGAGGCAGCAGUGGGGAAUAUUGCGCAAUGGGGGAAACCCUGACGCAGCCACGCCGCGUGGGUGAUGAAGGCCUUCGGGUUGUAAAGCCCUGUCGGGAGGGACGAAUUCUUGACGGUACCUCCAAAGAAAGCACCGGCUAACUCCGUGCCAGCAGCCGCGGUAAU
rnacentral:rRNA from 1 species